rnacentral:rRNA from 1 species
UACAGAGGUCCCGAGCGUUGUUCGGAUUCAUUGGGCGUAAAGGGUGCGUAGGCGGCGGGGAAAGUCUGAUGUGAAAUCCUGGGGCUCAACCCUGGAACUGCAUUGGAUACUUCCUUGCUAGAGUACUGGAGAGGAAACUGGAAUUUACGGUGUAGCAGUGAAAUGCGUAGAGAUCGUAAGGAAGACCAGUGGCGAAGGCGAGUUUCUGGACAGUUACUGACGCUGAGGCACGAAGGCCGGGGGAGCAAACGGG